GUCAAGUCAGCAUGCCCCUUACAUCCUGGGCUACACACGUACUACAAUGGUAGGGACAAUGAGCUGCGAUCCUGCGAAGGCUAGCCAAUCUCAAAAACCCUAUCUCAGUUCGGAUUGUACUCUGCAACUCGAGUACAUGAAGGUGGAAUCGCUAGUAAUCGCUGGUCAGCUAUACAGCGGUGAAUACGUUCCCGGGUCUU
rnacentral:rRNA from 1 species